GCAGAUUCUUUACCAUCUGAGCCACCAGGGGAGCCCAGUACCUGACCAGUGGUCUCUCAACUUUGUUUUAGAGCCUGUGCACGCACUGUCCUUAUUUAUGCAGAGAUGAUCUGUGUCACUACACAUAUACAAUAACAAAAAGGAUAAGAUAAAGAAAUGAAAAUAGGAAUUCUGGUAUUCCUUUCCUUUACUCGGUUUAGCACUCAGAGCAUCCCUGGGGCCAGUACCACUCAGGUUCAGAACUCCGCUCGUGCCACUUCCCUGGGCCUGGAGUCAAGACAGAAACAUCACAUUGUCAUUGGCAGAAGGCGUCCAUGGCUCCUCUCUGACUGCUCCUCUCAAGACUCAGCAUGGGAGGUGUCCUUGACCUCACCCCACUCCGUGUCUUGGUGCAGCACAGUUGCUCUGCAGGCCCCGUCUCGGAGCAGCUGUCAUGUCCUUCGACAAUUCCGUCUUUGUGGUAAAAAUGAGUAACAUGUCACUGGAUACAGACCAGGAUUACGGAUGUUCUCUUGUUUAUCAAAAAGGACCAUUGAGGGGAAGUAAAUGCAGAAUAGUCUUGGGGGAGGAAANCGCGCUAAGCACGGGGACCCUCCAUUCCAGGUGCACGUGGUUCCUCAUCCUAGUUCUCACCCUGUUCCUCUCUGCCCAGCUCUUCCCCAGCAGGGACAACCUGCUGCAGAAAUGGGUCCUGGCUUCCCCUGCGGGAAGGUCCCGCCCAGGUUGGGGGCAAGUUUAGAGGCCACACUGAUGGAGACACACAGGGAGGAGUCCAGUAGGAAGCUUGGUGACGCUGGAUGGUUUCCCGCAUGUUGUCCCACUGAUAGCGCAGCCCCGAGGAUGGGGUCUCAGGUCACAAGUCCCCUUCCCACCUCGGCUCUCCGAAGCCCAUGGCCGUGUUGGCUNNNNNNNNNNGUUGCUCAGACUGAACCUGCCAGAGGUGCCGGCUCAUGGCCGUUCUUAGAGACACGGCCUCUGUGAUGGGCGGCAUCGGCUUGAGGCUCCCCAGGGCCUGGCCACCCUCUCCUCAGGAGGGCCCGGUGCCCCUGUGUCUGCCCAGGCUUCCUGUAGCCUCGCUUUCACACUCCUGAGUCAGAGGACCCUGGUCUCCAGCUCCAUCCCAUUGUCUCUUCAGAUGCUCCCUGGUCCACAUCCUGACACUCUGUCCUGUCUGGCGUCUGGUUUUGGCAGGGUCCAAGCUGGUGUGGUGCAGGGUUGAGAGCAGGCCCACCUUUGGCUCUUUGCUCCAGAUUCCGGCCUUCCCCAGCUCCCUGUCAUAGCACCUGCCCUGCUCUGCAGCCCCGCAACACUCUCAGGCAGUCCUGGGAGAGCUGCGUGUAUGGUCGUCAACUCCAGGGACUUGCUCUUCCAGAUUCUCCUACGCAGAACCCUGGAGCCCUGGGCCUUGGAAGCCCUCCCCCGACUCUGAGUAAGUGAGACAUCUUCAUCCCAAGUUCUGCAGAUUUCUGCCUGGGUUUCUGGCGUCUCUGGAUUAGUGAAAACGCUGUCUAUUUCUCCCCCCAUGUGACCCGAGUCUUUGUGGAGAUGCAGCACACACCUGGCCUUCUUUCUCAUCUUCCUGGGUUGUUACCUGGAGCACAUCCACUGGGGGGCUCAUGAAGUGGGCUCUGCCCUCCAGUGAUGCUUCUGUGGUGAAUGGUUGUGGUCCUGCGCUUGCUUCUGGAGCAUGAUUUCCCUGAUGUCGCCAGAGUCUUGAUACUCAGCAGGACACUUCUUGGUCGUGGAGUCUGCCCGGUGCAUUUCAGGAUGUUUACCAGCGUCCCUGGCCUCUACCCAUCAGAUGCCAGCAGCCCCUCUACGGUUGUGACAACCGUGAUUGUCUCCAGACACCGACACAUGUCCCCUGGGGCACACAAUUGCUCUUGGUUGAGAAUUACUGUUGUGUGGUUUUAAAUGGUCAGCACGGUCUCCUAGCAACCCCCUAACUUAGGUCAGUUGUCUUUCUCACCACUCUAAUGAAGGACAGCCUUCUCUUUUUAUUCCAGAGGCCUGCACCUCUGAUCCAUCCUGGUUUCAAGUCUGUGAGAAGCUUCUAGUUUUCAGUUUGUUCCACUGAAAAUUAGGUUUAUCCCAAACCUGUAAAUUGGGUCAUCAACUUCUUCAUCUAUGCUGGGUGCUCUCUGAUGAAUGCUUUGUAAGAAUGGCUAACAAGGGGAGUGCACUGAUGAUAAACUGUUAGGCGUGAUGGUGAGAAUAUGUCUGAAGUAAAGCAGAUACGAAAAGUCUUAGGCUGCAACCGCAUGAUUAGUUUAGUUGGACUGACUCUAUCCCUGGCUGUGCCAUUUUCAUUAGUCAAACUGUUCCAACAACUCUCUUCUUUAGGGCAGUCUUGGAGUUUACUGUAUUAGCUUGAGGGUAGUCUGGAGUUAGAGUGACAGCCCAGAUGGGAUUCUUAUGCAUGAACAUUUAAACCUAAACUAAAAUGCAAUGUCUGAGAUCAUGGGUUGCAAACAGUCGUGUAAACCUACUCACGGUGGUGGUGGUAGAGUUUUGAGAUCCAUUAAAAAUCCGGAGCCAGUUUGAAAUAGAAGGAAUUUUGUCCAAUAAAGAAGUGAGGAUGGCCCUAAAUAUUAAAAUGCACUCUUGAAAAUUUUGGGGGGGAUAUAGUUGCUUUAAAAUGUUGUGUUNNNNNNNNNNNNNNNNNNNNNNNNNNNNNNNNNNNNNNNNNNNNNNNNNNNNNNNNNNNNNNNNNNNNNNNNNNNNNNNNNNNNNNNNNNNNNNNNNNNGCUUCUUGCCUGGAGAAUUCCAUGGAGAGAGGAGCCUGGCGGGCUACAGACUAUGGGAUUGCAAACAGCGACUAACACUUUCAGUUUCAUAGGUGCUUUAAAAUGUUGUGUUAGUUUCUGCCGUACAGCAAAAUGCAUCAGCGACCCUUAUACAUAUCCCCUCUGUUUUGGAUUUCCUUCCCAUUCAGGUCACAGAGCCCUGAGCAGAGCUUCCUGUGCUGUGCAGUAGCUUCUCAUUAGUUAAUCUAUUUUAUACACAGUGUCAAGAUCGUAUACACCUCAAUCCCAACCUCCCAAUCCAUCCCACUCCCCUUCCCCACUGGUAUCCAUAGGUCCAAACAAUCUUUUUUAUUCCUUGUGAGUAUUUUAAUGUUCCCAUCGCGUAACGCUUUUAUUUAUUUAUUUAUUUAUUUAUUUUUUAGA
ensembl:lncRNA